UACCCUCCAGAAAAAAAUCUUCACAAGUCGACGCAAAGAUCGCCACGAUAUUUUGUGCGCAUCAGCAUGACACGCACAUGAUGCGUGUGUCACACUUGGCACGUAUUUGUUGAAACGAGUAGAUGCUAGCGAUACACGGCCAUGUUCUGCACCACCGCUGCGCUACUACAACCUGCUCGUAUUUCUCUUCACCUACCUGGGCCUUAUUGGUCACGCGACAGAGAGCUAUUGAUGGGCCCAAACCUUUCUUUCAUUCGGGCCCUUUUAUGGGUUGCAUUUUUUUCCCACCUUAUCAUUUCUAGAAUUCUAGCAGUCUCACGCUCGAAGUUUAUUAAGAAAAAACAAAAAAAAAGUGGCUGUCUACGAGGACCCGCCGAGGUUUCUUUGGAUCCUCUGCACGUCCUGGCCGUUGAUCCUGAACGCCAUCUUGAGCACCUCGUCCGGCACGCGCGGCUCGGUCCGGAACGCCGAGAAGGGCACGAGCUGCGCGCCGGGGCUCUGGCUGUUGAGCCCCGACAGCACGACGGCGGGCGCCGCGACGUCCACGUUGUACAUGAAGUGCACCAUCCCGCGCGGGACCACGAAGGCCUCCCCGGCGCGCAGCAGCUGCGUGUACAGGCGGUACGACGUGUCGGCGAAGCCCACCAGGACGCUGCCCGCCAGCACCAGCGCCACCUCCGACGCGCGCGGGUGGGUGUGCGGCGGCGCCAGCCCGCCCGGGGCCAGGUCGGUGCGCGCCAUGGCCAGCCCCUGCGCGUUGGCGCCGGGGAGGGACGACGCCGGGCUCGUCACCGUCACGCUGAACCCGUACGCCGUCUCCGUCUCCGACGCCCGCGACAGCGCCGACGUGGCGAAGUGCUCCGCCCGCGCCGACGCCGGGUCGAUGCAGGCCAGGCCGUUCAGGUGGAGCUGGGACGACGACGUGUCGGCGACGCAGUAGUCCAGGAGGAGGUCGGGAUCGCACCUGCACAGGGCGGCGGAGAGGAAGAGGGCGACGAUGAUCCGGUGGCUCAUACCAGUACCGAUGCUGCCGCCAUCAGCCGUAGCGCUCAUGGCGGAGCUACUUGUUCGAUUUUUUUUUUUUUGUGGCGGGAAAAUGAGCUAGAUGUAUAUGCUGUCUACGUUCAGCGAUCAGUGUGGUCGCGUAUAAAU
rnacentral:misc_RNA from 1 species